rnacentral:hammerhead_ribozyme from 1 species
AGUCAGCUGGCGAGUCCCGAAUAAGACGAAAUGGACAUCCUGAAU